GGAUUCGNAUGGGCGAAGCCUGACGCAGCGACNNCGCGUGGAGGAUGAAGGUCUUCGGAUUGUUCACUCCUUUUGUCGGGGAAGAUAAUGACGGUACCCGAUGAAUAAGCCACGGCUAACUCUGUGCCAGCAGCCGCGGUAAGACAGAGGUGGCAAGCGUUGUUCGGAAUUACUGGGCUUAAAGGGCGCGUAGGCGGUGGAGUAAGUCUGAGGUGGAAGAUUAGGGCCUAACCCUAAAAUUGCCUUGGAAACUGCAUCACUUGAGUCAGCGAGGGGAUGGCGGAAUUCCAGGUGUAGCGGUGAAAUGCGUAGAUAUCUGGAGGAAGGCCGGUGGCGAAGGCGGCCAUCUGGCGCUGAACUGACGCUGAGGCGCGAAAGCGUGGGGAGCAAACAGGAUUAGAUACCCUGGUAGUCCACGCCCUAAACGGUGGGUACCUAGGUGUAGGGCUCGCAAGGGUUCUGUGCCGUAGGGAAACCAUUAAAUGUCCCNCCUGGGGAGUACGGCCGCCAANGUUGAAACNCNNAAANNUUUGACGGAA
rnacentral:rRNA from 1 species